rnacentral:rRNA from 1 species
GACCGAUAGUGAACAAGUACCGUGAGGGAAAGGUGAAAAGGACCCCUGCUAGGGGAGUUUAAAGUUCCUGAAACCUUGUGCCUACAAAGUGUGGGAGCGUCUUUAUGGCGUGACCGCGUGCCUUUUGCAUAAUGAGUCUGCGAGUUAUUGUCAGUGGCAAGUCUAAGUCCUAAUGGGACGUAGGCGAAGCGAAAGCGAGUGUGAAUAGCGCGUCCAGUCGCUGGCGAUAGACCCGAAGCGGAGGUGAUCUAACCAUGAGCAGGUUGAAGCUGCAGUAACAUGCAGUGAAGGACCGAACCGGUGUGCGUUGAAAAGUGCUCGGAUGACUUGUGGUUAGGAGUGAAAGGCUAAUCAAACCCCGUAAUAGCUGGUUCUCUCCGAAAUAGCUUUAGGGCUAGCGUCGGGUGAGUACUCCGAGGAGGUAGAGCACUGAUAGGCUUAGGGUCCCUAACCGGAUACCAAAACCUGUUAAACUCCGAAUGCCUCGGAUCCAUUACCCCGGCAGUCAGUCGAUGAGUGAUAAGAUCCAUCGUCGAGAGGGAAACAACCCAGAUCACCGACUAAGGUGCCUAAAUACCGUUCAGUGGUAAGGAGGUGAAGUGACAUAGACAGUGAGGAUGUUGGCUUAGAAGCAGCCACCAUUUAAACAGUGCGUAACAGCUGACUCAUCGAGUUACUUCGCGCCGAAAAUGAUUGGCGAUCAAACGGUAUACCGACGUCGUGAAUGUCUUCGGACAUGGUAGGAGAGCGUAGUCUUUGCAUCGAAGCUGUUCUGUAAAGAGCGGUGGAGCGGAGACUAGCGAGAAUGCAGACAUGAGUAGCGAUAAACAAAGUGAGAAUCUUUGUCUCCGUAAACCUAAGGUUUCCUGGGCCAGGCUCGUCCUCCCAGGGUUAGCCGGGACCUAAGGCGAGGCCGAAAGGCGUAGUCGAUGGAUAACAGGUUAAUAUUCCUGUGCUAAUGCGCAACAUGGGACGCAUGGCAGAAAGGUGACACACACAAUGAUAUGUGAGUCUAGGCUUCGGCCGAAACACGUCACCCGCAGCUGUGCCGAGAAAACCGCGCAGGCCCGUACCGUAAACCGACACAGGUAGGUGAGUCGAAUAGACUAAGGAGCGCGAGAGAAAUCUCUCCAAGGAACUCGGCAAAUUAGCCCCGUAACUUCGGAAGAAGGGGUGCCCAUUUCGGUGGGCCACAGUAAAUUGGGACUGGCGACUGUUUACCAAAAACACAGCUCUCUGCAAAGUCGUGAAGACGACGUAUAGGGAGUGACACGUGACCAAUGCGAAAAGAUUAAGGUGACUUGUUAGCCCUUGAGGCGAAGCUCGGAGCCCAAGUCCUCGUGAAUGUCGGCCGUAACUAUAACGGUCCUAAGGUAGCGAAAUUCCUUGUCGGGUAAGUUCCGACCUGCACGAAUCGUGCAACGACCGGUCCGCUGUCUCGGAGAGAAUCUCGGCGAAGUUGUAAUUGCGGUGAAGAUGCCGCAUACCCGCAGUAGGACGGAAAGACCCUGUACACCUUUACUAUAAGCAAGUAUUGGCUUCUGAUUAGUGAUGCGUAGCGUAGGUGGGAGACUUUGAAGUGAUGGCUUAGGUUGUCAUGGAGUCGAAAUGUGAAACACCACUCUUUAUUAAUUAGGAUUCUAACAACGAUUUCUCUGAAGCGAGACGUUGAACAGUGCUUGCGGGUUAGUUUGACUGGGGCGGUUUCCUCCCAAAAAGUAACGGAGGAGCACUAAGGUACCUUCAGCAUGGUUAGCAACCAUGCGUCGAGCGUAUGCGUAGAAGGGUGCUUGACUGCGAGACCUACAAGUCGAGCAGGUACGAAAGUAGGUGCAAAUGAUCCGGUGGUAGAACGUGGAAUUGCCAUCGCUCAACGGACAAAAGGUACGUCAGGGAUAACAGGCUGAUCGCGCCCAAGAGUUCAUAUCGACGGCGCGG